UAGAGAGAAUCUUUUAGAUUUUUCUCAAUAUAUAAGACAAAAUAUAGUCAUGUGGGAUCUUGUUUGAUUCGUCUCAACGAGUAUUUUAUUAAUAUUCAAUUAUUAUAAUUUUUACUAUUAUGUAAUGAAAGAAAUUUAAUGUAGAAUAAGCGCAUUGACAAACGUGCAAAGUCAAAGUAGUAAAGAUAAAAAAAUAUAGAGGGAGUAUUAUUGAUCUUGUUGUUACCAUUAUAAAUGUCAUUGUUAUUAUUAUAUUAAGUUAUUUUGUUGUUAUUUAAUAAUAGAAAAUCAAAAGCCACAUGUUUAGAACAUAAGAUUGACGCAAAAAAAAAAGAAAUAUAUAAAAUAUGAUAUCUCAAAUUCAUGACAACGAAACUACUAAGUCCGGAUUACGAGUCCACUCAUGGUACACCCGGGUGUACCAUGCUCAUGGUACACCCAGGUAUUUUCGUAAUUAAUUGGAACUCUAAGGACACGCUGGUAAUUUCAAGUACUCUCUCUCCUCAACCUCCUCCUCUUCCGCGUGCUUCGCUGCCAUUUUUUCCAGCUUUGUUGCUGUUCAUUUCCUUUGAUAAGGAGUCGUCUUCUUCCGGCGAAAACGAUGGCGGUUUCUUUCUCGCUCUUCUUUCUCGUCGGAAUCACGAAAUCAAAACUUCCAGAUCUGAAAUUUCGAAAUCAAAACUUCAAUUUCCAGAUCUGAAGUUCGCGAAAGAUCAAUAAAAAGGCCGAUACGCUCGCCGGAGAGGUUUCCAGAUCUGUCUUUCAUGGUUGCCGGAGUGAUAUGCACUUUUGCAAUCAACCAAUGGAGAAAAUUUGAGAGCAAAAGAGUUGAACAAAAUAGGAAUGAAUUGCUUGAUUCGCUGUCAAUUUCAGUUCAGAAAUAACUCAAAUGAAUUUGUCUUUAAGUUGAUUGUUGUAAUUUUCUUUGUUUUUGUCAAGAGAUUGAUAAUGGAGUUUUGUGUGUAUUAUGAAAUUUUAGGUGUUUCCAAAUGAUUCGAAAUUGUUUCACAAGUUGCAAGUUAUAGGAUUUGAUGAAUAUGAUAUUGUAAUUUUCUCUCUUUUCUUCCUA